UAGGGAAUCUUCCGCAAUGGACGAAAGUCUGACGGAGCAACGCCGCGUGAGUGAUGAAGGUUUUCGGAUCGUAAAGCUCUGUUGCCAGGGAAGAACAGCUAGGCGAGUAACUGCGCUUAGAAUGACGGUACCUGAGAAGAAAGCCCCGGCUAACUACGUGCCAGCAGCCGCGGUAAUACGUAGGGGGCAAGCGUUGUCCGGAAUUAUUGGGCGUAAAGCGCGCGCAGGCGGCUUUGUAAGUCUAGUGUUUAAUCUCGGAGCUCAACUCCGAUUCGCACCGGAAACUGCAAGGCUUGAGUACAGAAGAGGAAAGUGGAAUUCCACGUGUAGCGGUGAAAUGCGUAGAGAUGUGGAGGAACACCAGUGGCGAAGGCGACUUUCUGGGCUGUAACUGACGCUGAGGCGCGAAAGCGUGGGGAGCAAACA
rnacentral:rRNA from 1 species